CUCAUGCAUCUGCUGUUGGAUCUUCUGAGAAGGGAGGCUCCUGCGUUCCUAUUUCACCAUAAUUGGCUGCAGAAAUGUGGGUGGCAGCACAAUUCAUCCCAGGAUUUGAUGACUUCUUUACUAAUUAAGUUUAAUAACCUCUUUGCACGGUGUAGAAUGAAUGCAGCAGCUGGGCUGGUGUGUUGGCAGCAGCCCUGCACAUCGCACCGCGGCACGGGCGGGCUCAGGAGCCCUGCCUGGCUUUGGGCACUCUGCAGAGGUGAUGACACACAACCCCCCCCGCAGGGCUGGAAGAUGAACCUGCUGAAGUCCUGUGCCCUCCAGACAGGCUGUUCACAGCUUUGAGAGCCUGACCCUUGCCCGGGUGCUGCAUGGCUGCUGUGCUGGUCAGGCUGAGCGGUUGCGGCGCUUGGGCAGGGCCGAGCUAGCUGGAGCUGCACUUCUCAAAAUGAAAAGUUAAUAAGAGUCCAUCUGGUUGCAA